UGGGGAAUAUUGGACAAUGGGCGCAAGCCUGAUCCAGCCAUGCCGCGUGUGUGAAGAAGGCCUUUUGGUUGUAAAGCACUUUAAGCGAGGAGGAGGCUACUUGGAUUAAUACUCUAGGAUAGUGGACGUUACUCGCAGAAUAAGCACCGGCUAACUCUGUGCCAGCAGCCGCGGUAAUACAGAGGGUGCGAGCGUUAAUCGGAUUUACUGGGCGUAAAGCGUGCGUAGGCGGCUUUUUAAGUCGGAUGUGAAAUCCCUGAGCUUAACUUAGGAAUUGCAUUCGAUACUGGGAAGCUAGAGUAUGGGAGAGGAUGGUAGACUUCCAGGUGUAGCGGUGAAAUGCGUAGAGAUCUGGAGGAAUACCGAUGGCGAAGGCAGCCAUCUGGCCUAAUACUGACGCUGAGGUACGAAAGCAUGGGCAGCAAACAGG
rnacentral:rRNA from 1 species